AGAGUUUGAUCCUGGCUCAGGACGAACGCUGGCGGCGUGCUUAACACAUGCAAGUCGAGCGGAAAGGCCCUUCGGGGUACUCGAGCGGCGAACGGGUGAGUAACACGUGAGCAAUCUGCCCUUAGCUUCGGGAUAGCUCCGGGAAACCGGAAUUAAUACCGGAUAUGACUAUGGCCGACAUCAGCCAUGGUGGAAAGUUUUUCGGCUAGGGAUGAGCUCGCGGCCUAUCAGCUAGUUGGUGGGGUAACGGCCUACCAAGGCGACGACGGGUAGCCGGCCUGAGAGGGCGACCGGCCACACUGGGACUGAGACACGGCCCAGACUCCUACGGGAGGCAGCAGUGGGGAAUAUUGCGCAAUGGGCGAAAGCCUGACGCAGCGACGCCGCGUGGGGGAUGAAGGCCUUCGGGUUGUAAACCCCUUUCAGCAGGGACGAAGCGAAAGUGACGGUACCUGCAGAAGAAGCGCCGGCUAACUACGUGCCAGCAGCCGCGGUAACACGUAGGGCGCAAGCGUUGUCCGGAAUUAUUGGGCGUAAAGAGCUCGUAGGCGGUCUGCCACGUCCGCUGUGAAAACCUAGGGCUUAACCCUGGGCUUGCAGUAGAUACGGGCAGACUAGAGGUAGGUAGGGGAGAAUGGAAUUCCCGGUGUAGCGGUGAAAUGCGCAGAUAUCGGGAGGAACACCGGUGGCGAAGGCGGUUCUCUGGGCCUUACCUGACGCUGAGGAGCGAAAGCGUGGGGAGCAAACAGGAUUAGAUACCCCAGUAGUCC
rnacentral:rRNA from 1 species